GACGAACGCUGGCGGCGUGCUUAACACAUGCAAGUCGAACGGAAAGGCCCUGCUUGCAGGGUACUCGAGUGGCGAACGGGUGAGUAACACGUGGGUGAUCUGCCCUGCACUUCGGGAUAAGCUUGGGAAACUGGGUCUAAUACCGGAUAGGAGCCAUCUUUAGUGUGGUGGUUGGAAAGUUUUUUCGGUGUAGGAUGAGCUCGCGGCCUAUCAGCUUGUUGGUGGGGUAAUGGCCUACCAAGGCGGCGACGGGUAGCCGGCCUGAGAGGGUGUACGGCCACAUGGGGACGGAGAUACGGCCCAGACUCCUACGGGAGGCAGCAGUGGGGAAUAUUGCACAAUGGGCGCAAGCCUGAUGCAGCGACGCCGCGUGGGGGAUGAAGGCCUUCGGGUUGUAAACUCCUUUCGCUAGGGACGAAGCUUUGUUGUGACGGUACCUAGAGAAGAAGCACCGGCUAACUACGUG
rnacentral:rRNA from 1 species